UACAGAGGGUGCGAGCGUUAAUCGGAAUUACUGGGCGUAAAGCGCACGUAGGUGGCGACGUAAGUCGGGUGUGAAAGCCCCGGGCUCAACCUGGGAAUUGCAUUCGAUACUGCAUUGCUGGAGUACGGAAGAGGAGGGCGGAAUUCCCGGUGUAGAGGUGAAAUGCGUAGAUAUCCGGAGGAACAUCAGUGGCGAAGGCGGCCCGCUGGUCCAGUACUGACGCUCAGGUGCGAAAGCGUGGGGAGCAAACAGG
rnacentral:rRNA from 1 species